GCUGGACUGGUAAUCUGGCCUACCGGACAUUUUUCCGGUGGACCGACGCACUUUGAUCAGGGUGGACUGGCCAUCGGGAGAACCGAGCGGGCCGCUGUGUCGUCUGCGAUAAGCUAAAACGAGCCGCCGCGUUAGCGAACACUCUUCCCCCCAACAAAUUUUGGGCCAGUUAUGUCAAAUCCCGUUCCGAUUUCUCUUCCCAGUCCAGCCCUGACAGGGAGCACAUGGAUAUUGUUGAAGUUAAACAAGUACAAGCUUGCCCAGAGUUUUCUUAAGCCAUUUGGAGUAUGAUGCAGCACAUGUUUCCUUGGCAAUGAAGUGGAUGCUGAUGUUUGUGCUGCUUUCUGCAAUGCACGGAGUAUGAAGAUGUGACUGUUGUAUGGUUCUAGGUUGAACAUGUUUGCCUCAAGUUCCUUGAAUGCAGAACCACCAUGUAGAUCCAGAACCUUUGUGGGGACAGAGAUGGGCCUUGUGAGUGUGUGCUGUUGAAGAAAUCUCUCAGCUGUCUUGCAGACUUUCAGGAUGCUGUCUGACGGUCUUAUAAAUCCACCUCAGGACUUCAUGUCGAUCAGUGUGUUCAUCUUGGGAAGAGCUCUCGACACUGAGUGCUGAUAAACAGACGACAGGCUCUUCUACAUCGGUCCUAGUAGGCAGUACAUGCGGCUAGUUGUCCUGUCAGAGGAAGAGAAGAGGUCUGUUCUAAUGGAGUGCCACAAUAACCCUGGGACUGGCAAUCACAGUGGUGUCAGAGGCACUCAAAACAGGGUUAUUGCUGGCUACUAUUGGCCUACAAUUAUCCAGGAUGUGAAAGAAUGGGUCAGAUCUUGUCACCGCUGCCAGUUGAAUGACCCCAUCAAGACUGUUGUGCCAGUCUUGCAUUCCAUUAAGGUAAAAGAAUCUUGGGAAGUGCUUGGUUUGGAUUUGAUUGGACCACUGCCAGAAACAGCACGCAACAACAAGUAUGUCCUUACCAGGACAGACCAAUGCAAUCUAAGACGGCAGCUGAGGUGUCUGCAAUAAUAACCACAAAGUUGUACUUGUUCGGCAUGUCUUGCAGAUUUAACUGAUAAUCCCUCUACAGCUCAACAACAGCAUUUUCAGUACGCUGAAAAUCUAACAUGCUGUCUCCAGUGCUUACCAUCCCCAGACCAACGGACAGGAUGAACGGACCAAUCAGAAUAUCAAGCGUGCUCUCAGGAAGUAUGUGAAUGAAAACCACAAUGACUGGGAUCUCCACCUUCCUGCUGUGGUGUAUGGAAUCAACACUGCAAAGCAGGUUGUGUUUUAACAUGCUUACUUAUUAUGUUUUACAAAUACAGUGCAUAUACAUUUACAUAUUUUCCAAAGUUAUGGACAGAGAUUUGCAUACUGGACAGAAGAAGCAUCCCAACUCCUUCAGGGAACCCUUGAGCCUGUCUUUAGGGUGUCCAAAUCCACCACCACAAACCUGUUGCCCAGCAGAAGAGUUGUGGUUGAAGAGAACGCUGAUAAGGUGCAACAGCCGGCCAUUGUAAAAGACCUUCAUGCAGCUUAGCACUGGGUUCACAAUCACAGACUUAUUCCAUGGGGAUGUGAGAGAGCCUGCAUUUCUGCAAAUGAACAGGGAUGAACAACAAAAUGCCCUCAGGAAGGUCCUCGGGGGUGAAUUCUCCAAUACAAAGGAUUAUUUUUGUCAUACUGUGUUGAUGAAUAAGGCUUGAAGGUCAAUGCCAUGUUCCAGUGAGUGAGUCAGUGAGGGAUGGAAGCAAUUAAUUAAUGUAUUAAAUAAAUUGAAUGAAUAAA